rnacentral:rRNA from 1 species
AAAUAGGGGGCAAGCGAGAAAAGGAAAUAAGGGGAGGAAAGAGUGCGUAGGUGGUUUUUUAAGCGUGAGGUGAAAGGCAAUAGCUUAACUAUUGUAAGCCUUGCGAACUGGAAGACUUGAGUGCAGGAGAGGAAAGUGGAAUUCCUAGUGUAGCGGUGAAAUGCGUAGAUAUUAGGAGGAACACCAGUGGCGAAGGCGACUUUCUGGACUGUAACUGACACUGAGGCACGAAAGCGUGGGGAGCAAACAG